rnacentral:lncRNA from 1 species
AUUAAUUUACAAGUAAUUAACAUGCUAAAACAUUUUAUAAUUCGCUUCAAUAACGUGUAUAGAUAACACAAAAAUUAACUCUGGCCUACCUUAGGCUACAUGAUCACAGACAAGCUGAUGUAAUUAAAAUGAGAAGAUUUAUUUCUUGGUACUUUCAUGGCUUUAUUUUUACAUUAAAGUCUUUUAUGAUGUAUUAUUUAUUGCUAUCUUCCACCAAAUGCUUGGCCAGUCAAUCCCAGGGUGAUCUUAAUAAUAACAACUAAUACAUGUAAACCAUAAACAUUUAUGAAAAUUAUAUAUCCUCAUAUAAAUUUCAUAACAUAUGUAAGUUACAAAAGAAAGAAAAAGUCAACGAGGAUAUGGGGGAAGCCAAAAGGAAUACAAACUAACAAAUGAACCUAACUAUGUACAAAUUAUGCAAAUCACAUAAUUUGCAGGAGGUGGAAAGAAAGAAAAGAACUCAUCUAGGCAACUUUUGAAACCAGUACUUAGAUGCUACAGGUCAAACACAAAAACAACAGUACACGAUUAAGGAAGUAAGGUGCCUCCAUAGUGACUGCGCCUCCCUGGGGCACAGGUUGAACAGUUCACCUACAGCACUGACAUGGCCUAAGCGAAUGUCCUGUCAAUCUGAGAGCCAGGUUUCUCCCUGUCACAGGAAGAAACUACACAUAAGGAAAGGGGCAGAAGCAACAAGCACAGCCAGUGCCCAGGUCUUGGUUGCUAAAUCCCAGUCUCCAGUGAGGGAGGGCUCCCUGGAGAAGCAGCUGGGUGCAGAGCUG